rnacentral:rRNA from 1 species
AGAACGAACGCUGGCGGCAGGCUUAACACAUGCAAGUCGAGCGGGUAGCAAUACCAGCGGCAGACGGGUGAGUAACCCGUGGGAACCUUCCUAGAGGUACGGAACAACGCAGGGAAACUUGCGCUAAUACCGUAUGUGCUCUUGCGAGGAAAGAUUUAUCGCCUUUAGACGGGCCCGCGUCGGAUUAGCUAGUUGGUGGGGUAAUGGCCUACCAAGGCAACGAUCCGUAGCUGAUCUGAGAGGAUGAUCAGCCACACUGGAACUGAGACACGGUCCAGACUCCUACGGGAGGCAGCAGUGAGGAAUUUCGUCAAUGGGGGCAACCCUGAACGAGCAACGCCGCGUGCAGGAAGACACUUUUCGGAGCGUAAACUGCUUUUCUCGGGGACGAGUAAGGACGGUACCCGAGGAAUCAGCCCCGGCUAACUACGUGCCAGCAGCCGC